AUGGGUGCCCUAAGCUGCUUCACCUGAGUCCCUCAUCCCCAGAGGUCCCCCUGGGAGCUGUGUCUCCUGCUCUUGGCUUCAUUUGGACUUGCCUCGGAAACUGGGCUGUUGCUGACCCUGGCUGUGACUCCCAGACCUGUUCAACAUUUGCCCAGAACACACCCAAGGCACAAAUGGCAGAUGCAUUCCACAUUUGCUGUCCUCAAAAUGAAGCAAGGAGUUCCAUGUGGAAGUUAAGGGUCGUCACGAUGCAACAGAUGGAGCUGAGGGUUGACCAUCAAGAAACAAUUCCUGCAAAACCCAGAAGGCGGUGGGAGGAGGAGUGAUAUUUGGAAGGCUGUUUGGCUCGAUGACAGGAGGGUUUUUAUGUUCCAGGGCUGACCUGUAGUUGUGCGAGUCCUGCCUGAUCAAAACUGAGAGUUGGGCUAUAUUUAUGGCUUAAGCAUAUUUAUUACUUGCUUGUAGUAGUUUUUUUUUUCCAAAGUUUUUCAUCACUGCUGUCACUGAUGGUGCUGUGCUAAUAAAUAUAUUCAUGUAGAGAGAC